rnacentral:rRNA from 1 species
CUGGAAUCGCUAGUAAUCGCGGAUCAGAAUGCCGCGGUGAAUACGUUCCCGGGUCUUGUACACACCGCCCGUCACACCAUGGGAGUCGGAAAUGCCCGAAGUCUGUGACCCAACCUUAGGGAGGGAGCAGCCGAAGGCAGGUCGGAUGACUGGGGUGAAGUCGUAACAAGGUACC